UACGGGGGGGGCAAGCGUUGUUCGGAAUUACUGGGCGUAAAGGGCGCGUAGGCGGCCUUCUAAGUCAGACGUGAAAUCCCUCGGCUUAACCGGGGAACUGCGUCUGAUACUGGAGGGCUUGAAUUCGGGAGAGGGAUGUGGAAUUCCAGGUGUAGCGGUGAAAUGCGUAGAUAUCUGGAGGAACACCGGUGGCGAAGGCGGUUCUCUGGGCAUUACCUGACGCUGAGGAGCGAAAGUGUGGGGAGCGAACAGG
rnacentral:rRNA from 1 species